ACCGGAAGAAGGAAGGGGGACAAGCAGUGACAGCCACACGGGACACGAGCAGGAGCAAGAGGGUGGACGGCACAGGGGCAGACAGGAGGUGAGCAGCCCGCGGCGGCCACACCACCCUCGGCCACAAGGCCACGCAGUAGCCGGUGUCAUGCAGACCGGCCGAGCAAGGGUCCAGUUGAACACCGAUCCUUCCCUGAGCCCGUAAAAGCGCAGGAACGGGGUUUAAAAAGAUACAAAUUAAUGAGGUCAGGGAGAAGGGAGAACGUUCCAGAAGCUGGGGUUCUGGUGAGGCGCUGUGGCUGACAGCCGGCUGUGAGGACCCUGAGCCAGCCUGUCCCGUCUGCCUGCAGGGCCUCCAGGCCGGGGGCACCCACAGGACACCGGGUGCAGAGAGGCCCGAGCUCACACUCCCUCUCGGCUUUCAGAACCUUCUAGGAAGGAGAAUGGCGGCUUCUGGGCAGCCCAAGAGGAAAGACCUACAGUCCAGCUGCCUCGGUCAUUCCCCGUCCCCACUGGCCCCCAUGGGCCCGGGUCCUCCCGUCGGCCUUCCUCGUGUCUCACACCCGGGGCCUGGGGAUUGGGGGGGUGUCGGUGGGGAACACCCAGACGGGAGACGGACUCGGGAGAAGAAACUUCAUCCAGGAUGUCCUCGGAGGUGCCGAGGCUGCAUGUGCUCGAGGGAGAAACGUUCCAGCCCUGAGAUGAACGCCACGGGGAGAUGAGGUCGCGGGGACCCUGCGGAAGGAGCGGCGCACGCAGGGCGAGGGGGAAGGAAGCCAGGAGAGGCUCCUGCCAGGGCACUUCUGGCACCCGGUGAGGCCUGGCAGCUGCUCUCACCCCCCCCGUGCCCAGGGCGGCCCGUCAGCCCUGCCAGAGGCCAGACACCCACUGCCCUGUGCCCACGGGAACCAGGGCUCGGGCUGGAGCGGACAGAGGAGGCAGCACGAGGGCCACGGACAGAUGCCAACCGGACGGCAAUGCGGUGCCAGCCCAUGCCUGUUCUUUGGCAAAAUUAAAGGCCGGACUCCGCUGGCAGCGGCUAAAACCCCCCACACUGUCCAUGGGUGCCUGCGUGACUGCACUGGAGAGUGGCGUGGACCCCGCAGAGGCGACCCCAGGUGCGGGCAGCCCCCGUCCUGAGCCAUGAUCCCGACAGCAAAGUCACAGUGACAAAUUAUCCAAUGUCCAGGCUCUGGGGAGCGAGAGCCACCAAGUCCCGACACUGGCGCCAACAUGGAAAGAGGUGUUCCCAGGAGGAUGGGUUUCCAAGCUGGACCGGGUAGAAGAAGGGACUGAAUCCAGGCAGCAGCCUGGCCUCAGGGUUCCCUUUCCCCUGGGGUCAGUGCAGAGGCUGCUCCUCGCUGGGUAGGGCCGGGGGUGGGGACCCCACGCUUUCCUCACAGGAACGCCGGGCAUCUUCAUCUUCAGUGGUUCUCGAAAACCUCGAGUUGGGGACCUGGGGGGACACAAGGCCAGGAGAGGAAACGGGGAGCAGGCCCUCCACAAUGUCUCCGGGGUCCUCAGGGCAGCCACCCUCCAGCUCUCGAGGUGCAGGCCAGGGUGGGUCGGGGUUGGUGGGAUCCAGGAGCACACGGCCAGGGCAGGGGCCACUGUGUCAGCUACACUGUGACACCGAUGGGCACUUCCCUGACCCUCGACCCGGCAAGUUCAUCCCUGGAGACCUGCCUGACAGACGUCCUCGUGCAUGACCACGGGAGGCACACGAGAGGCUGACAACGGGACCCCCGGCUCUGUGGCUGAAAUGAAGCCAGUUGGCGACUCGUGCUGCUGGACCGGGAGCAGCGGCUGAGCUUCAGGUGGGGCUCGAUCCAGCAGCCCUGACGAGGUCCCGAGAUCCCCGCUGCUCCUGAGCUCUGCUGUCCCGGGGUGUCAGCUUGCCCUGUGGUCACCAGACGCCCCAGCUGCAGCUGGGGUUUUCUCCCCAUGGGGCUGCCCUGGAAGCAGCCAACAAGCAUCCUUGCCACUGCCCCCGGCCCUGAUGGGGUUGCAUGCCCCCUGCUAUACAUCGGGGGCUGCUGUGGGAGGUGCAGCUGCAACCAGAAAUCGGGAGUGGACGUGGGGAUCCAGCUCAGCAGCCCGUCCUCCAGGUCACUCCAUGUUGCUGUAGCAACGGUCCACCACCAACCUCGAUGCCCCUGGGCCAGAGCCGGGCUGCUUUACCACCGGCCACCUCCCGUGGAAAUCCCACAUGACUGCAAAAAAACGGGGCGACCUUUGCCAGGUGCGGUAGGCUCCCCGGCCAGUGGAGCCCCCCAUGCGGGUCGGAGGCUGCAGGUGCUGACGCCAGAAGGAAACCCACCCGGAGCGCAGAGCCACUUCUGUCCAAAAGCUUUCUGGACAACCUCGUCUUUAGGAAGUCACAGGACGCAUCGAUUCAAACAAAAGCAGAUACGUUAAAAAAAGAGAGACGCCACCAAACCUAACGCACCAACUCGUGAGAAUGAGCUCACCUGGUUCAGUUCACAGAAGAGACGGAGACGAACAGGUCAUUUCAAUAUUUAUUAAAUAUACUCUCUUGGCACAAAUCUUUAAAAUAUAUAAACAUCAUAUAUAAACAAA